GAAAUGUUGGGUUAAGUCCCGCAACGAGCGCAACCCUUAUCCUUGUUUGCCAGCGAGUAAUGUCGGGAACUCCAGGGAGACUGCCGGUGAUAAACCGGAGGAAGGUGGGGACGACGUCAAGUCAUCAUGGCCCUUACGAGUAGGGCUACACACGUGCUACAAUGGCGCAUACAGAGGGCGGCCAACUUGCGAAAGUGAGCGAAUCCCAAAAAGUGCGUCGUAGUCCGGAUUGGAGUCUGCAACUCGACUCCAUGAAGUCGGAAUCGCUAGUAAUCGU
rnacentral:rRNA from 1 species